rnacentral:rRNA from 1 species
UACGAGUGCCCCGAGCGUUAUCCGGAAUCAUUGGGCGUAAAGGGUGUGUAGGUGGUUUUGCUAGUCUUCCGUUAAAUUCUUCGGCUUAACCGGGGGCAUGCGGGGGAAACGGCAAAACUUGAGGAUGCGAGAGGUAUAUGGAACUCAUGGUGUAGGGGUGAAAUCCGUUGAUAUCAUGGGGAACACCGAAAGCGAAGGCAGUAUACUGGCGCACUCCUGACACUGAGACACUAAAGCGUGGGUAGCGAAUGGG